rnacentral:tRNA from 1 species
CUGUUGUAUGUCCCGGUGACA